rnacentral:rRNA from 1 species
UACGUAGGUGGCAAGCGUUGUCCGGAUUUACUGGGUGUAAAGGGAGCGUAGACGGCAAUACAAGUCGGAAGUGAAAUACCCGGGCUCAACCUGGGAACUGCUUUGGAAACUGUAUGGCUGGAGUGCUGGAGAGGUAAGCGGAAUUCCUAGUGUAGCGGUGAAAUGCGUAGAUAUUAGGAGGAACACCAGUGGCGAAGGCGGCUUACUGGACAGUAACUGACGUUGAGGCUCGAAAGCGUGGGGAGCAAACAGG